CUGUAACUCAAGAAGCUGCAUCGAUGAAAUGUUGUAUGCCUUCUCGAUGGAAAUCUUGGGGUCCAAGCUGACGAACACACGUCGGGUCAGGAUCCUCUUCUCUGUCAAGAUGAACCCUGGUGUUUCUUGAAUCAGGAUGCCGGAGGAUGGUCCCAUCUCUGCAAUCGGGUCGGUCCGUAGCUCUUGGCACAGGAGCAGUACGAUCCAGAAACACGCCACAUCCUUCUUGGACAUCUUUCGACAGUCACGGAACAGAAACUCGUUUCAGACUUAUCUACUAAUGAUUCAAGGUUUGUUAAGCAUACAAACUUAUAACAGUGUGAUAUCACUUGGCCUAGGACAACACAUUUUUACGAUUCAUCAACAUAUGUAUUCUGUCUAAUUCUAUUUUUAUAACUUCAUCCCUCACUACAUUUAUUACUGACUCCUCAGCAAUAUGCCUAUAGCAGUUAAACAAGCUAGUAACCUGCUUAGAAAAUUUAGUUAUUGGAUGGCAAGGAAAUGGUUAAUGACAUGAACGUACAUGAGAUCAUGGCACAUCACAACAUUUCACAUCAUACUAUACCACGUGAAUCAAGCAUUCAUCCAGGUUAGUCGUUCA